UCCCUAGUACGGCGAGUGAAGCGGGAAGAGCUCAAAUUUGAAAUCUGGUAGCCUUCGGUUGCCCGAGUUGUAAUCUAGAGAAGUGUUUUCCGCGUUGGCCCAUGUACAAGUCCCUUGGAACAGGGCGUCAUAGAGGGUGAGAAUCCCGUCCUUGACAUGGACCCCCAAUGCUUUGUGAUACACUUUCAACGAGUCGAGUUGUUUGGGAAUGCAGCUCAAAAUGGGUGGUGAAUUCCAUCUAAAGCUAAAUAUUGGCGAGAGACCGAUAGCGAACAAGUACCGUGAGGGAAAGAUGAAAAGCACUUUGGAAAGAGAGUUAAACAGUACGUGAAAUUGUUGAAAGGGAAACGAUUGAAGUCAGUCAUGCUCUUUGGAUUAAGCCGUUCUGCGGUGUAUUUCAUUGAGCGGGGUCAACAUCAGUUUUGAUCGCUGGAAAAGGGCAGGAGGAAGGUAGCACUCUCGGGUGAACUUAUAGCCUCUUGUCGUAUACAGUGAUUGGGACUGAGGAACGCAGCAUGCCUUUUGGCCGGGAUUCGUCCACGUACAUGCUUAGGAUGUUGACAUAAUGGCUUUAAACGACCCGUCUUGAACCACGGACCA
rnacentral:rRNA from 1 species